rnacentral:rRNA from 1 species
AUUGAACGCUGGCGGCAUGCCUUACACAUGCAAGUCGAACGGUAACGGGCCUUCGGGUGCCGACGAGUGGCGAACGGGUGAGUAAUGCAUCGGAACGUACCUUUCAGUGGGGGAUAACGUAGCGAAAGUUACGCUAAUACCGCAUAUUCUGUGAGCAGGAAAGCAGGGGAUCGCAAGACCUUGCGCUGAUUGAGCGGCCGAUGUCAGAUUAGCUAGUUGGUGAGGUAAAGGCUCACCGAGGCGACGAUCUGUAGCGGGUCUGAGAGGAUGAUCCGCCACACUGGAACUGAGACACGGUCCAGACUCCUACGGGAGGCAGCAGUGGGGAAUUUUGGACAAUGGGGGCAACCCUGAUCCAGCCAUGCCGCGUGAGUGAAGAAGGCCUUCGGGUUGUAAAGCUCUUUCGGCCGGGAAGAAAUCGUAUGGGCUACUACCCUGUGCGGAUGACGGUACCGGCAUAAGAAGCACCGGCUAACUACGUGCCAGCCGCCGCCGUAAUAC